UGAUUCCAUAUGUGUUAUUUCAUAGUUGAUGUCUUUACUAGUAUUCAACAAUGUAGAAAACAGUGAAAAUAAACUUGAAUGAGUAGGUGUGUUACUGUAAAAUGCGACAAUUGUUUGUGCACAAGACUCACCAGGACUACUUUUGUAAACCUACAGUAUGUAACUAUAAUGCUACGUCAGAUGUCAGCUAGGUAUGAUAAAGCAUAGACAAACAUUUGCAUUGGCUGUGUUUGAGGCUUUGACAGAUGUAAUGUAUGGUUUUGUUGGAUGCAUUUUGUUUUAUGUCACUUUUUAUCCCAAAUGAUGCUGAUAAUUUAAAACUUUGACAAAAUGUUGUAUGAAUAGUGCAAAACCUCUAAGAUGAAUUUGUUCCACAGGGGAGUUUCACCUCAGAAAACAAACCAUCAGAAAGAGAGACAUCAAUAAACAAUAGACCUUCAGGGAUUCAGUUCUUGUUUAAAACUCAGGGGCCCAACCAGUAACAGUCGGACCAAAGCACCUUUCAAAACAAAGAUGAAGUCAAAUAAUAAGAAAACAUGACACUUCCUGAUGUCAGAUUCUAUAAGAAUCAUAAAAGGACAAAACGAAUUAAAUGUUUCUAAAAGUAACACAAUAAAAAAUAAAAAAAAACAGGCACUCAGAUGUGGCAGGGCAAACCACCACGGAUUACGGCCCAGUCCAUCACCCGGGCAGAGCUCCCUGCUAUCCAGGACCACUAUACCAGGCGGUGUCAAGAGGAAGGCCCCAAACGUUGUGAAAGACUCGAGCAACCACAGUGCACCACGUCUGGAACCAACACGACCCUGAACAGCUUCUAUACACAAGUCAUAGAAAAGAAAGGUGGACUG